rnacentral:rRNA from 1 species
AUUGAACGCUGGCGGAAUGCUAUACACAUGCAAGUCGAACGGCAGCACGGACUUCGGUCUGGUGGCGAGUGGCGAACGGGUGAGUAAUGUAUCGGAACGUGCCCAGUCGUGGGGGAUAACGUAGUGAAAAUUACGCUAAUACCGCAUACGAGCUAUGGAUGAAAGCGGGGGAUCGCAAGACCUCGCGCGAUUGGAGCGGCCGAUAUCAGAUUAGGUAGUUGGUGGGGUAAAGGCCCACCAAGCCAACGAUCUGUAGCUGGUCUGAGAGGACGACCAGCCACACUGGAACUGAGACACGGUCCAGACUCCUACGGGAGGCAGCAGUGGGGAAUUUUGGACAAUGGGCGAAAGCCUGAUCCAGCCAUUCCGCGUGCAGGAUGAAGGCCCUCGGGUUGUAAACUGCUUUCGUACAGAACGAAAAGGUUUCUACUAAUACUAGGAGCUCAUGACGGUACUGUAAGAAUAAGCACCGGCUAACUACGUGCCAGCCGCCGCAGUAA